UACGAAGGGGGCUAGCGUUGCUCGGAAUUACUGGGCGUAAAGGGAGCGUAGGCGGACAUUUAAGUCAGGGGUGAAAUCCCAGAGCUCAACUCUGGAACUGCCUUUGAUACUGGGUGUCUUGAGUGUGAGAGAGGUAUGUGGAACUCCGAGUGUAGAGGUGAAAUUCGUAGAUAUUCGGAAGGAACACCAAGUGGCGAAGGCGACAUACUGGCUCAUUACUGACGCUGGAGGCUACGAAAGCCGUGGGGAGCAAACAGG
rnacentral:rRNA from 1 species